AUUGAACGCUGGCGGCAGGCCUAACACAUGCAAGUCGAGCGAGCGGCGGACGGGUGAGUAAUGUCUGGGAAACUGCCUGAUGGAGGGGGAUAACUACUGGAAACGGUAGCUAAUAUCGCAUACCAUCAGAUGUGCUCCGAUGGGAUUAGCUAGUAGGUGGGGUAAUGGCUCACUUAGGAGACGUUCCGUAGCUGGUCUGAGAGGAUGACCAGCCACAAUGGAACUGAGACACGGUCCAGACUCUUACGGGAGGCAGCAGUGGGGAAUAUUGCACAAUGGGCGAAAGCCUGAUGCAGCCAUGCCGCGUGUAGGAAGAAGGCCUUCGGGUUGUAAAGUACGUUCAGCGAGGAGGCGUUACUCGCAGAAGAAGCACCGGCUAACUCCGUGCCAGCAGCCGCGGUAAUAC
rnacentral:rRNA from 1 species